rnacentral:rRNA from 1 species
AUUGAACGCUGGCGGCAGGCCUAACACAUGCAAGUCGAGCGGAUGAAGGGAGCUUGCUCCUGGAUUCAGCGGCGGACGGGUGAGUAAUGCCUAGGAAUCUGCCUGGUAGUGGGGGAUAACGUCCGGAAACGGGCGCUAAUACCGCAUACGUCCUGAGGGAGAAAGUGGGGGAUCUUCGGACCUCACGCUAUCAGAUGAGCAUAGGUCGGAUUAGCUAGUUGGUGGGGUAAAGGCCUAACAAGGCGACGAUCCGUAACUGGUAUGAGAGGAUGAUCAGGCACACUGGAACUGAGACACGGUCCAGACUCCUACGGUAGGCAGCAGUGGGGAAUAUUGGACAAUGGGCGAAAGCCUGAUCCAGCCAUGCCGCGUGUGUGAAGAAGGUCUUCGGAUUGUAAAGCACUUUAAGUUGGGAGGAAGGGCAGUAAGUUAAUACCUUGCUGUUUUGACGUUACCAACAGAAUAAGCACCGGCUAACUUCGUG